UGGGGAAUUUUGCGCAAUGGGCUAACGCCUGACGCAGCAACGCCGCGUGGAGGAUGAAGGUCUUUGGAUUGUAAACUCCUGUCAGCAGGGAAAAAGGGAGGUGACCUAAUACGUCAUCAACUUGAUUGUACCUGCAGAGGAAGCCCCGGCUAACUCUGUGCCAGCAGCCGCGGUAAGACGGAGGAGGCUAGCGUUGUUCGGAAUUACUGGGCGUAAAGCGCGCGCAGGCGGCUUUGCAAGUCAGGGGUGAAAGCCCGGGGCUCAACCUCGGAACUGCCUUUGAGACUGCAAGGCUCGAGACCGGGAGAGGAGAGUGGAAUUCCCAGUGUAGAGGUGAAAUUCGUAGAUAUUGGGAAGAACACCAGUGGCGAAGGCGGCUCUCUGGCCCGGACCUGACGCUGAGGCGCGAAAGCGUGGGGAGCAAA
rnacentral:rRNA from 1 species